GUGAAAUUGUUGAAAGGGAAGCGCUUACAACCAGACUUGCAGGCGGUCGAUCAUCCGAGGUUCUCCCCGGUGCACUCGAUCGUCUUCAGGCCAGCAUCGGUUUUGGUGGCGGGAUAAAGGCUCUAGGAAUGUGGCUCUUCGGAGUGUUAUAGCCUAGGGUGCAAUGCCGCCUACCGGGACCGAGGACCGCGCUUCGGCUAGGAUGCUGGCGUAAUGGUUGUAAGCGGCCCGUCUUGAAACACGGACCAAGGAGUCUAACAUCUAUGCGAGUGUUUGGGUGUCAAACCCAUACGCGUAAUGAAAGUGAACGGAGGUGAGAGCCCUUUAGGGCGCAUCAUCGACCGAUCCUGAUGUCUUCGGAUGGAUUUGAGUAAGAGCAUAGCUGUUGGGACCCGAAAGAUGGUGAACUAUGCGUGAAUAGGGUGAAGCCAGAGGAAACUCUGGUGGAGGCUCGCAGCGGUUCUGACGUGCAAAUCGAUCGUCAAAUUUGCGUAUAGGGGCGAAAGACUAAUCGAACCAUUCGCUACCGCAACCGCUCCGAAAGGACGGUGAGCACCGGCCCUAAUGCCGGGGAUGGUAACAACGCGGGUGCUAGGGAUAAUCCGCAGCCAAUUCCUACGGGCUCUAUGGCCUACGGAUGCAGUUCACAGACUAAAUGUGAGUGGGCUCUCAGAGCUUAAGUGAUAGUCGACCCCCCGCGAGAGCGGGUGGAAGCAGUGCUAGUAGCUGGUUCCUGCCGAA
rnacentral:rRNA from 1 species